CUGGCGGCGUGCCUAAUACAUGCAAGUAGAACGCUGAAGAGAGGAGCUUGCUCUUCUUGGAUGAGUUGCGAACGGGUGAGUAACGCGUAGGUAACCUGCCUUGUAGCGGGGGAUAACUAUUGGAAACGAUAGCUAAUACCGCAUAACAAUGGAUGACUCAUGUCAUUUAUUUGAAAGGGGCAAAUGCUCCACUACAAGAUGGACCUGCGUUGUAUUAGCUAGUAGGUGAGGUAACGGCUCACCUAGGCGACGAUACAUAGCCGACCUGAGAGGGUGAUCGGCCACACUGGGACUGAGACACGGCCCAGACUCCUACGGGAGGCAGCAGUAGGGAAUCUUCGGCAAUGGGGGCAACCCUGACCGAGCAACGCCGCGUGAGUGAAGAAGGUUUUCGGAUCGUAAAGCUCUGUUGUAAGUCAAGAACGAGUGUGAGAGUGGAAAGUUCACACUGUGACGGUAGCUUACCAGAAAGGGACGGCUAACUACGUGCCAGCAGCCGCGGUAAUACGUAGGUCCCGAGCGUUGUCCGGAUUUAUUGGGCGUAAAGCGAGCGCAGGCGGUUUGAUAAGUCUGAAGUUAAAGGCUGUGGCUCAACCAUAGUUCGCUUUGGAAACUGUCAAACUUGAGUGCAGAAGGGGAGAGUGGAAUUCCAUGUGUAGCGGUGAAAUGCGUAGAUAUAUGGAGGAACACCGGUGGCGAAAGCGGCUCUCUGGUCUGUAACUGACGCUGAGGCUCGAAAGCGUGGGGAGCGAACAGGAUUAGAUACCCUGGUAGUCCACGCCGUAAACGAUGAGUGCUAGGUGUUGGAUCCUUUCCGGGAUUCAGUGCCGCAGCUAACGUAUUAAGCACUCCGCCUGGGGAGUACGACCGCAAGGUUGA
rnacentral:rRNA from 1 species